UAGAAGCAACUCUCGCGAGAUAGCACAGACAUGUAACUAAAAGCUAAUACUAUACGUAUACACGGUUGGACUGCAUACUUAACAAGUUAACAGUGUCUCACAGUAUCGAAGUUUCACACCAGUUUUACAUAAACGAAUACUGAAAUUUAUGGCAUAAUCCAUUUAUGGAAGUUUUUUUUUUGCAAUUGGUACCUGUGAGUAGCCCAAUAGUUAGGUCUCCUAAAUUACUGAUGGUUAUGUUUUCAGUCACAUUUUCUGUAUAUUUACUUAUUGUGUGGCAUCAGAGCUGCGCCGUAAUUGUUGUUUGUGAUUUAAAUCAUCCCAAGGUGAGAGGCUGCUUUUGGAGAGGUAAUUUCCAUUUUUUUAAUGAUGUAGCUGUGUCGAUUUGCUUCCUUGCUGAUUUCGGUGGUACGCAACCUGUGAUUUGGCGUUGGUUGCUUCUACAUUUCCCACUGGUACUCUUCAGUACCAACCCAUUUGCUACCAAUUUGGAUGACACUAGGCCAGUAGCUAUAAGAGACUCUCUGGUUCUGAAACUAUGGGCAGCUUGUUGCUAGCUUUAGCGACAGGUAGCAAUCUGUGGCUUCGAUGGGUGGCCAGGUCUCCAAAGGUCAACCACUGCCCAUGUACUGACGAAUUACGCAGCACACAACCACUGCCCAUGGCUCUGAUGUGAAUGUGGCAAGGCAACUGAACAAGUUUUCCAUGGCCAGAUCGACGGCAAUGCGAUGCCAUACAAUCACAUGUUAUAACCAAAGCUUAAUUUGCUUCUUAUCUAUAUGUUUGUGUACACUUUUUGAAAUUUCCUUAUAGUUUUUUCUACCAUUUCAGACAUCAAACAUCAAGUGCUCAACAUUAAACGGGAAUGGCAUAUAGCUUCUGCUCUCAACUAAGCAAGCCUGGCAAUUAUGGCAAAUGGAAAGGAACUAGCAUUUCACUCCACAGAUGAUUCUGCCAUUUGGACAAUGUAAUUUGUUACAUAGAUUGUUUCCACUGUUUAUUGUAGGGCAAAUGAGUCCACGCUUGUAGUAGUUCUUAUGGAUGCGAUUGUGCAUCAGUGUUACAAUGCUCUCCAGUCAUCAUGACACUUUAUUUAUGCCAGGAUUCUUAUACUGUGUUGGCACCUGGAAUUCUUAGGUCACAUUUUAUCCAAUUUUUAAUGGGAAGAAAUGUAUUUAAUUA